CAGUAGCCACGGUAAUACGUAGGGUGCAAGCGUUAAUCGGAAUUACUGGGCGUAAAGCGUGCGCAGGCGGCUUGUUAAGACAGAUGUGAAAUCCCCGGGCUCAACCUGGGAACUGCGUUUGUGACUGGCAAGCUAGAGUGUGGCAGAGGGGGGUGGAAUUCCGCGUGUAGCAGUGAAAUGCGUAGAUAUGCGGAGGAACACCGAUGGCGAAGGCAGCCCCCUGAGCCAACACUGACGCUCAUGCACGAAAGCGUGGGGAGCAAACAGGAUUAGAUACCCCGGUAGUCCCUGUCUCUUAUAC
rnacentral:rRNA from 1 species